AGGUUGGAUUAGACGAAACCUUGAACAGCAAUUACUUUGCUUUAGCAACAUUAUUGUGGGAUUAAUAACAUAAAGGAAGUUCUUCAUUAACGAAUCAAGCAACUCAACUUUAAUCAUCAAAUAUUUUUGUUUAAAAACUAAUAAAACUAUUCAAGG